rnacentral:rRNA from 1 species
AUUGAAUGCUGGCGGCAGGCCUAACACAUGCAAGUCGAACGAGAGGCGGACGGGUGAGUAAGGUAUGGGAAACUGCCCGAUGGAGGUGGAUAACUACUGGAAACGGUAGCUAAUACCGCAUACCAUCCGAUUUGCCCAGAUGGGAUUAGCUAGUAGGUGGGGUAAUGGCUCACCUAGGCGACGAUCCCUAGCUGGUCUGAGAGGAUGACCAGCCACACUGGAACUGAGACACGGCCCAGACUCCUACGGGAGGCAGCAGUGGGGAAUAUUGCACAAUGGGGGCAAGCCUGAUGCAGCCAUGCCGCGUGUAUGAAGAAGGCCUUCGGGUUGUAAAGUACUUUCAGCGGGGAGGCGUUACCCGCAGAAGAAGCACCGGCUAACUCCGUGCCAGCAGCCGCGGUAAUUC